GGAGGGGUGGCAGAGUGGUCGAAUGCGGCGGUCUUGAAAAUCGCUAGGCCGGGUUGACCGGUCUCGUGGGUUCGAAUCCCACCCCCUCCG
rnacentral:tRNA from 1 species